rnacentral:rRNA from 1 species
UGGUGGGUAGUUUGACUGGGGCGGUCUCCUCCUAAAGAGUAACGGAGGAGCACGAAGGUUGGCUAAUCCUGGUCGGACAUCAGGAGGUUAGUGCAAUGGCAUAAGCCAGCUUGACUGCGAGCGUGACGGCGCGAGCAGGUGCGAAAGCAGGUCAUAGUGAUCCGGUGGUUCUGAAUGGAAGGGCCAUCGCUCAACGGAUAAAAGGUACUCCGGGGAUAACAGGCUGAUACCGCCCAAGAGUUCAUAUCGACGGCGGUGUUUGGCACCUCGAUGUCGGCUCAUCACAUCCUGGGGCUGAAGUAGGUCCCAAGGGUAUGGCUGUUCGCCAUUUAAAGUGGUACGCGAGCUGGGUUUAGAACGUCGUGAGACAGUUCGGUCCCUAUCUGCCGUGGGCGCUGGAGAACUGAGGGGGGCUGCUCCUAGUACGAGAGGACCGGAGUGGACGCAUCACUGGUGUUCGGGUUGUCAUGCCAAUGGCACUGCUCGGUAGCUAAAUGCGGAAGAGAUAAGUGCUGAAAGCAUCUAAGCACGAAACUUGCCCCGAGAUGAGUUCUCCCUGAGACUUUAGGUCUCCUGAAGGAACGUUGAAGACGACGACGUUGAUAGGCCGGGUGUGUAAGCGCAGCGAUGCGUUGAGCUAACCGGUACUAAUGAACCGUGAGGCUUAACCUUACAACGCCGAAG